GCUCUCGUGGCGAAACUGGAAAACGCGCCCGACUUGGAGUCAGGUGGUCCCUGCGACCUUGCGGGUUCGAGCCCCGCCGAGAGCACCA
rnacentral:tRNA from 1 species